rnacentral:rRNA from 1 species
CGAACGAGAAAGCGUCCUUCGGGGCGUGAGUACAGUGGCGUACGGGUGAGUAACACGUGGGUUACCUGCCCUUCGGUGGGGAAUAACCCUGGGAAACCGGGGCUAAUACCGCAUAUCUCCGUAAGGAGAAAGCCUUCGGGCGCCGGAGGAGGGGCCCGCGGCCGAUUAGCUUGUUGGUGAGGUAACGGCUCACCAAGGCAACUAUCGGUAGCCGGCCUGAGAGGGCACACGGCCACACUGGCACUGAGACACGGGCCAG